rnacentral:rRNA from 1 species
UACGGAGGAUGCAAGCGUUAUCCGGAAUUAUUGGGCGUAAAGCGUCCGCAGGUGGCUGUGUAAGUCUGCUGUUAAAGAGUCAUGCUCAACAUGAUAAGAGCAGUGGAAACUACACGGCUAGAGUGCGUUCGGGGCAGAGGGAAUUCCUGGUGUAGCGGUGAAAUGCGUAGAGAUCAGGAAGAACACCGGUGGCGAAAGCGCUCUACUGGGCCAUAACUGACACUGAUGGACGAAAGCUAGGGGAGCGAAAGGG